rnacentral:tRNA from 1 species
GCGGAAGUGGCGGAAUGGCAGACGCGCUAGCCUCAGGAGCUAGUUGCCGCAAGGCAGUGGAGGUUCAAAUCCUCUCUUCCGCACCA